rnacentral:rRNA from 1 species
GCGGUUUAAUUGGAUUCAACGCCGGAAAGCUCACCGGGGGCGACGGUUAUAUGAAGGCCAGGUUGAUGACCUUGCCUGAUUUUCCGAGAGGUGGUGCAUGGCCGCCGUCAGUUCGUACCGUAGGGCGUUCUGUUAAGUCAGACAACGAACGAGACCCUCAUCCCUAAUUGCUACUUGCCUCUCCGGAGGUAAGGCACAUUAGGGAGACCGCUGGCGAUAAGCCAGAGGAAGGCGAGGGCAACGGUAGGUCAGUAUGCCCUGAAUCCCCCGGGCUACACGCGCGCUACAAAGGCCGGGACAAUGGGUUCCGACACCGAGAGGUGAAGGUAAUCCCGAAACCCGGUCAUAGUUCGGAUCGAGGGUUGAAACUCACCCUCGUGAAGCUGGAAUCCGUAGUAAUCGCGGAUCAACAUUCCGCGGUGAAUAUGCCCCUGCUCCUUGCACACACCGCCCGUCAAGCCAUGCGAGUUGGGUCUAAGUGAGGACGUAGUUAUUGCUACGUUCGAACUUAGGCUCAGCAAGCGGGGCUAAGUCGUAACAAGGUAUCCG